rnacentral:ncRNA from 1 species
GGUUUCAGGUUCCUUGAGAUCAAUAGGGAAUCCUGUGAAAAUCAGGAGCUAUUCCCGUAGCUGUGAGGUUCUUACAAAGCCUUCGGUAUAAUGCCACUGACAAUUCACCAUUGUUGGGAAGGCGCCGGAGGAGGACCAAGCCAGAAGACCUGCCUGACAC